AGGUGUGAACAGAUGAUGAGGACACAUUGCUGACAAAACUUUAUCCUCGACGAGGAGGGCACAUGUGGCUGCUGUCGAAACAAGCGAAGGACCCGAGUCAUCAACAAACUCUUUAGCUGCUCCAUUGAAUGCAGUACAACCGUUGCUUGGGACCGGUGUUAUUAGGCAUGGAGAGGGACGAGCUACUACAGUUGCCAUGCUAAGCAUGGCAUUGACCAUAGGUACGUGUUAAGUUUUAUCUUACAGGUUACCUUGUUUAGUGGAUGUUAAUAUGUAACAUACAUACUAACUGUUGUUGGUUGCAUGAUAAACACAAUCCAUAAAACUUCCAUUCAGAAAUUCAGAAACUGAACAAACAUUGGUUUGAA
rnacentral:lncRNA from 1 species